rnacentral:rRNA from 1 species
UACAGAGGUGGCAAGCGUUGUCCGGAAUCAUUGGGCGUAAAGAGCGUGUAGGCGGCCCGAUAAGUCCGCUGUGAAAGCCCCCGGCUCAACUGGGGAGGGUCAUUCGAUACUGUCGGACUCGAAGGCAGGAGAGGGAAGCGGAAUUCCUGGUGUAGCGGUGAAAUGCGCAGAUAUCAGGAGGAACACCAAUUGCGAAGGCAGCUCGCUGGGACGUCACUGACGCUGAGACGCGAAAGCGUGGGGAGCAAACAGG